UGAUUCUGCCAUCACUAUAUCUCCACAGA
rnacentral:sRNA from 1 species